rnacentral:rRNA from 1 species
AUGGGGGCUUCGUUUGGCCAUCUCAUUUUGUACAACAAAAAAUCUUGUAUCAUUGUUGAUGUGUCUAGAGGUGUUAGCGUCUCACCUCCACAACUACCACUUGUUGAAUGUGCUGAGCCCAACUAUGGUGCCCUUACUGCUCCUCUCACAUCACCCAACUCACAUCUCAUUAUUGAGGCUGGACCACAUAAUCUGUUUUGGCGUGUUGGUAGUGACUCAUGGGUGAGAAGCUCUACUUGUCAUGGACAUAUCAAGCAAGUCGUGGUCUUCAAAGGACGGGUCUUUGGCAUGGAUUCUGAUCGCAGAAUCUUCAAAGUGCACUUGUCACCCCAGGUGAGCAUCCAAGAACUACCAGUCAUCGAGUCAAGCAUGAUCAAUAAACGGAAUCUGUCCAAUGCAUGGUUGGUGGCUUGUGGCGAUAUGCUUCUCUUAGUCGGCUUUCGGGGAUCUAUUCUAGUAUCAGGGGUAACCUUCGAAGUCUUUCGCCUUGACCUAUCUUUUGAGCCUGCAUUAUGGUUCAAGGUGGAGAAGCUAGAGCAUUGGGCGAUAUUCAUCAGCACGGACAAGAGAAGCCAGGCAUUGUCUUGCAUGAACCCAGAGAUAUGGGGAGGGCGGAGCAACUGCAUAUACUGCUAUAACCAUGAGUCUGAACGUUGGAUUGCACUUGAGCUCGGCAAGCCGCUGCAGGGAGAUGUCUUUAUUUUCAUGGGCUGUGACGGCAAGGUGCAACCUAUGUGGGUUGUCCCCAGCAUGCUCUCUCUGUGUAGGUGA